AGAAACCAACAGGGAUUGCCUCAGUAACGGCGAGUGAAGCGGCAACAGCUCAAAUUUGAAAUCUGGCCUCUUUGGGGUCCGAGUUGUAAUUUGUAGAGGAUGUUUCGGGUACCGCCUCGGUUUAAAUUUCUUGGAACAGAAUGUCAGAGAGGGUGAGAAUCCCGUCUUGGACCGGCGGUAGGGCCCAUGUGAAACUCCUUCGACGAGUCGAGUUGUUUGGGAAUGCAGCUCAAAAUGGGUGGUAAAUUUCAUCUAAAGCUAAAUAUUGGCCAGAGACCGAUAGCGCACAAGUAGAGUGAUCGAAAGAUGAAAAGCACUUUGAAAAGAGAGUUAAACAGUAUGUGAAAUUGUUGAAAGGGAAGCGCUUACAACCAGACUUGAGCGCGGCGGUUCCCCCUUCCUUUUGGUUGGGUUACUCCGUCGUGUCCAGGCCAACAUCGGUUCUGGGGGUCGGUUAAAGGCUUUGGGAAUGUAUCUACCCUUCGGGCGUAGACUUAUAGCCCAGAGUGUCAUGCGGCCUCCCGGGACCGAGGAACGCGCUUCGGCUCGGAUGUUGGCGUAAUGGUUGUCAGCGACCCGUCUUGAAACACGGACCAAGGAGUCUAACAUCUAUGCGAGUGUUUGGGUGUCAAACCCGUAACGCGAAAUGAAAGUGAACGGAGGUAGGAAGCCGCAAGGCUGCACUAUCGACCGAUCCUGAUGUCUUCGGAUGGAUUUGAGUAAGAGCAUAGCUGUUGGGACCCGAAAGAUGGUGAACUAUGCCUGAAUAGGGUGAAGCCAGAGGAAACUCUGGUGGAGGCUCGCAGCGGUUCUGACGUGCAAAUCGAUCGUCAAAUUUAGGUAUAGGGGCGAAAGACUAAUCGAACCA
rnacentral:rRNA from 1 species